GCCUCCCUCGCCGCCAUCAGACUCCUACGGGAGGCAGCAGUGAGGAAUCGUUCCACAAUGGGCGAAAGCCUAGAUGGAGCAACGCCGCGUGCAGGAUGAAGGCCUUCGGGUCGUAAACUGACUUUUAUAGGUUGAAGAAUAUGACGGUAACUUAUGAAUAAGCAACCGGCUAACUACGUGCCAGCAGCCGCGGUAAUAC
rnacentral:rRNA from 1 species